GCCCAAGUAACGGCGAGUGAAGCGGCAACAGCUCAAAUUUGAAAUCUGGCUUCGGCCCGAGUUGUAAUUUGUAGAGGAAACUUUUGGUGAGGCACCUUCUGAGUCCCUUGGAACAGGGCGCCAUAGAGGGUGAGAGCCCCGUAUAGUCGGAUGCCGAUCCAAUGUAAAGUUCCUUCGACGAGUCGAGUAGUUUGGGAAUGCUGCUCAAAAUGGGAGGUAAAUUUCUUCUAAAGCUAAAUAUAGGCCAGAGACCGAUAGCGCACAAGUAGAGUGAUCGAAAGAUGAAAAGCACUUUGAAAAGAGGGUUAAAUAGCACGUGAAAUUGUUGAAAGGGAAGCGUUUGUGACCAGACUUGCGCCGUUCCGAUCAUCCGGUGUUCUCACCGGUGCACUCGGGGCGGCUCAGGCCAGCAUCGGUUUUGGUGGGGGGAUAAAGGUCCAGGGAACGUAGCUCCUCCGGGAGUGUUAUAGCCCUGGGCGUAAUGCCCUCGCUGGGACCGAGGUUCGCGCAUCUGCAAGGAUGCUGGCGUAAUGGUCAUCAACGACCCGUCUUGAAACACGGACCAAGGAGUCAAGGUUUUGCGCGAGUGUUUGGGUGUAAAACCCGCACGCGUAAUGAAAGUGAACGUAGGUGAGAGCUUCGGCGCAUCAUCGACCGAUCCUGAUGUAUUCGGAUGGAUUUGAGUAAGAGCGUUAAGCCUUGGACCCGAAAGAUGGUGAACUAUGCUUGGAUAGGGUGAAGCCAGAGGAAACUCUGGUGGAGGCUCGCAGCGGUUCUGACGUGCAAAUCGAUCGUCAAAUCUGAGCAUGGG
rnacentral:rRNA from 2 species